UAUUUAUACCUAGUUAUCAUAAAUGAUUCCAGAUAAAUAUUAUUGAAAAAGAACAGCAAAAAUUCAAUAAAAUUUUCACUUUUAAAUGCAUUACUGGCACGGGGCUGAACACUUUUUUUAGGCACAGUCAUAAAUUUGUUUACCCCCGAGAGAUCCGAAAUGAAUUGUUUAUUCAAUUGAAAAAGGCAAGAAAAAACUUACAUGUAAUAUAAAUAAAUUUUCCAGACAUAUCAUUACUUUUAAAUAUGAGAUGACAAACUAAAGGUUUUAAAAAGUCCUGAAUAACUGAAAUGGACAAAAAUACACAGAUUUAUUCAGAAUGUCAUACCGAUGAAGAUCACCUAAAAAUAUUUGGAAAAAUCAGAACUAUGGAUUUCAAUAUGGGACAAUACCCCUAAUGCGCCUUGAAAUGAGGAACACAAAAGUCAUGUGUAAACAAAAAAUCUCUGUGUAGUGAUAUUUGACACAUUUCUAUGAUAAGCAAAUAACUGAGCUGAACCAUUAGUGUUAAUUUAGAAAAUAAGGGAACACAGAAUAAAUGUGUAAAAACCAUGGAGCUAUGAAAUGUGUUCAAAGUAUUAAAAUUUCAAAGAACUUAUUGUGUUAAAAUUGGGAUUUUUUACCAUGAGGAGCGACAUCGCAAAAGGAUACUCGGGGUUUGCUAAAUUACGGAAAAAUGAAUCACACUUCGUACCCCGAAAAUUUAACCACAUAUGUAAAAAUGUCUCAGCUUCGAAACAAGCCAUCAUACAUAUACAAGUUUACGAUAUGGGCUGAGCAACAGAAGAAAACGUUACCAUUACGGCCUAUGGAAUAACAAUUGCGCAUAUUG